rnacentral:rRNA from 1 species
AGUGAACGCUGGCGGUAGGCCUAACACAUGCAAGUCGAACGGCAGCACAGGAGAGCUUGCUCUCUGGGUGGCGAGUGGCGGACGGGUGAGGAAUACAUCUGAAUCUGCCCAGUCGUGGGGGAUAACGUAGGGAAACUUACGCUAAUACCGCAUACGACCUUCGGGUGAAAGAGGGGGAUCGCAAGACCUCUCGCGAUUGGAUGAGCCGAUGUCGGAUUAGCUAGUUGGCGGGGUAAUGGCCCACCAAGGCGACGAUCCGUAGCUGGUCUGAGAGGAUGAUCAGCCACACUGGAACUGAGACACGGUCCAGACUCCUACGGGAGGCAGCAGUGGGGAAUAUUGGACAAUGGGCGAAAGCCUGAUCCAGCCAUACCGCGUGGGUGAAGAAGGCCUUCGGGUUGUAAAGCCCUUUUGUUGGGAAAGAAAUCUUUCAGGCUAAUACCCUGGGAGGAUGACGGUACCCAAAGAAUAAGCACCGGCUAACUUCGUG